CUUGAAAGACAGUCUUCAGAGUGAUUCCCUUAACCCUAGCUCAAUCCUCUUGAAGCCCUCUUUUCUCUUCGCUCUCGCUUAUUUAGGGGGAGAAUUUUUGAUUCGAUUUGUUUUGCUCAGUUGAAAUAGGAAGAUGUACGGUCAAGAAGGAGAUGGAGGUUACGGCGGUGGUGGAUACGGUGGUUCCGAAGGCGGAGGAAGCUACGGAGGCUAUGGCGGUGGCGGAGGUGGAGGAUACGGUAAUCGAGGAAGCGGCGGUGGAGGCUACGGUGGAAGAGGCGGCGGCGGUGGUGGUGGAUACGGAGGUGAUAGAGGUGGUGGAGGUGGUGGGUACCAGGGAGAUCGCGGCGGUGGAUACCAGGGUGAUCGCAGCGGUGGAUACCAAGGGGACCGUGGUGGACGUGGUGGCGGCGGUGGUAGGGGAGGUGGUCGGGGUGGUGGAAGCGGCAGGGAAGGUGAUUGGCGUUGUCCCAAUCAAAGCUGCGGGAAUUUGAACUUUGCCCGAAGAACUGAGUGUAACAAAUGUGGCACACAGUCUCCUGCUGGUGGUGGUGAUGACCGUGGGGGUAGAGGUGGUGGUGGUGGUCAAAGCAGAGGUGGAAGAGGUGGAGGUUAUGAAAACAGCAGAGGUGGAAGAGGUAACUAUUAUGAUGGUGGCAGUGGUCGCAGUGGAAAUGGUUACGAGGGUGGUAGUCAAGGAAGGGAUGAUGGUGGUUAUGGACAGAGCGCUCCCAUUGCUCCCCCUUCUUAUGGUGGUGCUGGUGGUUAUGCACCCCCGAAUGCAUAUGGUGGAAACCAUAGUUAUGCUCCUGAUUCAGUCCCUCCACCUACAAGUUAUACUGGGGGAAAUAAUUCACACCCUCCUUCAUAUGGUGCCCCGGCUGGUUAUGGUGGCGAUAGUCAAGGUGGAAACCGUGGAGGUGGAAGAGGGGGUUCGUCUGGUGGAUAUGGCGGAGGUCCUCGAAACCCAGGUGGUUAUGGCAGUGCUCCAGCAGAGGUUCCUGAAAAGGUCAAGCAAUGUGACGAAAAUUGUGGGGAUUCUUGUGAUAAUGCGAGAAUUUACAUAUCAAAUUUGCCUCCAGAUGUCACUACUGAUGAGCUCAGAGAACUGUUUGGAAGUAUUGGCCAAGUCGCCAGGAUCAAGCAAAAACGAGGCUACAAAGACCAGUGGCCCUGGAGCAUCAAAUUAUACACAGAUGAACAAGGAAAGAAUAAAGGCGAUGGAGUUUUAUCGUAUGAAGAUCCAUCUGCAGCACAUUCAGCUGGAGGUUUCUUCAACUCGCAUGACAUGAGAGGACACAAAAUUAGCGUCACAAUGGCUGAGAAAUCUGCUCCAAAAGCUCCCUCAUAUGGUGGCGGUGGCGGUGGUAGAGGCAACUAUGGAGGUGAUAGACGGAGAGACAACUAUCGAGAUGGUGGUUCAUCUGGUCCAGAUAGAAAUUAUCAUGGCGGAAAUCGUUCGCGUCCAUACUAGACACACCAGAAGGGAUAUUAAUGUACUAGUCUUAAUGGUGGGAGGGGUUUUUAUUUUUAUUCCGUAAGCGGAUUUGUCUCUAACUGGAGAUGAGAGGUAGGUUGUUCGUUGCUCUGAACAAUAUACCUUGUCUCCUUCCCAUCUCUUGUUAGCACCUUGGUGCGGAGUUAAGGAUUGAUAUGAACUGUGUGAAUGUUUUUUAUAGAGGGAAGUGGAUUCUCCAAAUUGCUGCUACUAAAGGUAGGUUGAACUUAUCAGAUUUUACCGUUUCAUGGCAUAAUAUGAGGUCAAUCGGGCUAAUCUUAAACCCAAUCCUGCUAGUCAUGGAAGUGUUGUGCAAGAGGCAGAAAAUUGGGCUGCUAUAUAAGCUUUUACUUUCUGCACAUGCUCUCUGUGGCUGUCUGUUUUAGUUGAUCGGAGAACUAGUCGUGGCUUCCAGAACUCUCGGAAUGUUUGAUGAACUGACAUACAGUUUGUGCAACUUUGCUAGAAGAGUGCUACUGCCCCAUUAUUCAGAAACAUUACCCUCCGGUGUUUAAUGCUCGAUUUUACUCCAGGAUUUUCAUGUUAGGUUGAGAAUGGCUUAAAAUGACAUGACCUCGUCCUUGGUUUUUGAAAAAGAUCUAUGCACUUUCCCUCGUCGCGAUAUGCCCUCUUUACUUGCCCUUAGUGUUUUCUCGAGGUUGCAUACAGGAGCUUCCACCUGCAUAGGUUCAUGGGAGAAAUAGAUUUAGAAAAACAUCUAUGUAAAAACACUUUUGAAUGAGUGUUUUGAAGAAUGAAAUAUGGGGUUAUCAUGUUCUA